rnacentral:rRNA from 1 species
GACGAACGCUGGCGGCGUGCUUAACACAUGCAAGUCGAACGGAAAGGCCUGCUUUCCCUUGUGUAUUGCGGGUACUCGAGUGGCUAACGGGUGAGUAACACGUGAGUGAUCUGCCCCCAACUUGGGUAUAAGCCUGGGAAACUGUGUCUAAUUCCCGAUAGGACUGCAGGGUGGUGCCUGUGGUGGAAAACGAUUUUCUAGUGGUUGGGGAUUGGCUCGCGGCCUAUCAGCUUGUUGGUGGGGUAAUGGCCUACCAAGGCGGCGACGGGUAGCCGGCCUGAGAGGGUGGACGGCCAAAUUGGGACUGAGAUACGGCCAAGACUCCUACGGGAGGCAGCAGUGGGGAAUAUUGCACAAUGGGCGGAAGCCUGAUGCAGCGACGCCGCGUGGGGGAUGACGGCCUUCGGGUUGUAAACUCCUUUCGACCGAGAGGAAGCCACCUGGUUGGAAGGGUGGUGACGGUAGUGGUAGAAGAAGCACCGGCUAACUACGUG